AACGGCAUCGCGCUUCUGGCGCACUCAGCCAGACGAGUAAAGCAGGGAAACGGAAUUAAGGGAGUACAUUACAACGGGUAAGACAAUAUUUUAGUAAAGGAUCAGGAAAAGGUAAAUUAUAGGCAUUUAAAGUUUAAUAUUAUGAUGUGAAAUAAAUGAAUACAAUGAUUUUUAAUAUAAGUAUAUGGAGAACAAUCAUUAAUAUACAGGAUACAUUUUGUAAUAGAUGUGGGAAACGGAACUUUCAAAUCUGACAGCUGUUUUAAUAAUAUAGAACGAUCAUGAAGGUUACAUGCAAAUAAUAUAAUUAUGAUUAAGAUCAGCGGGAUCAGUUCCGCAAGUACAUGCAGAACUUUUUUACCACGCGAUUUAGUAGUUUCAGGUGUUCCGGUGUACAUAUGUACGUGACCCAAUCCCAUUCGAAUUAACAUACUAGCUGCAGGCUUUGGCAAAGAGCUUUUAGCAAAUCAAGGAUUCCAAAGCACUCACCACUGUACACAGAAUUCAGGUGGCAACUUUAUUUUUUGGUAAAUAUUAGAUUGGGUGUGGAGAACACUGACGACUUAGAAGCAUCUGUGUACAUAUGAUGAGCACCCAGGCCAUCUGUUCCAAUUGUUGAAAUUGUUGAUUUUGUUCAACGUCAUUCUUGGAGACACCAAUAUCCAGGAGAACCGGAGGAACAAGUGUCAGAGAAUCAUAUUCAUAUUGGAAAAUGGGAAGUAGCUACCUCUAGGAAGUGGGAGCUGAUAUAGAUUUAAGUUUUUGAAAGCUUUUAAUUAAACAAGGAGGACUCUUAUUUUGCCAAUAGUUGGCAGUAGUUAUUUGAAGCAGAAGGUUAGACAGGAUAAUCCAGAGUUGGUGAUUAGAGAAUUGGGAACAAUGGAAAAAAAAUCUAGCAUAAAUAUAUUGGUGUCUUAAAUGAAGAGGAGGCUCAGCACACUCAACUUUCAUUGCAUUGAUAGGGCUUGAAUUCAUGGCCCACAAAUCAAUCUGAGUGUUUUGGAUUGAAUGAGACCUUUAUAGUUUUUGGAAG